CCAUGUCCCAUGCGGACUUGCUCUGCUUUCACCACAAAAUCUUGAAUUCAAGGUCCUUAACUGAAAUGAAUUCAAGAUCUUUGUUUUAAAUAAAUAAAUAAAUCCCAAUUCAGCAUCUGUUCUGAGCAGAAAUCCUCAGGCAGAACUGCUUAUCCUCCCGCAGAGAUGAUCUGGGGCUUUCGCUGGGCUCUUAAACCUCCCAACUAACGCAAUCCUCGACCACUGGAAAAAACAGGUCUUAGACCACAACUCUGCUUAAUCCCAGAGAGGGGCUUUGCAAACAGUGACGCUCCCCUCGCUUCACCCAGACCCGAGCACAUGCUCAAACACUUUGCACUUACGUGCUCUGUUGACACAGAGCUGCUGCGUCUCUUGCCAGCUCUGCUAUUUAUUUUCUUUUCGACCAGUGCCAACGUUUCCCUGGUUGUGUUCUGGGAAGAUAUUUCCUAAGCUCCCAGGGGGAUUUUGCCUUUGUGAAACUCAAGCCCUGCGACGAAGCGUUCCCUCUAACAGUGGCACGUUAUCUGGGCUCCCCAGAAACUCACCACUGCUCACCCCUGCAGAAACGCUUCGGUAUUGCUCCAGAGGAGGCUUUGCCGCCCUUUCACAUGCCAAGAACAUAAAAGCUAGUUUGGGAAUCUGGAUACUACCAGUGACCACUAAUUUCAUAAAUUGGAUUAAGAAGCAAUGGCAUGGCAUGGCAUACUCCACCUACAAGCAUCACUGGCUAUGCCCAUCCACAGGUAUGCAUGUGCAGAUAAAUGCUGCUUGGACAAUAAGCUGCAUUGCCACACCACCCCUGGAGCUGCCACUUGAGACAAAUCAUCGUCAUUUUAGAAGGAAAAAGGUUUCGGAAACGCUGCUCAAGCUGGUCCAUUUAAAAAUGCACAAACAAGACAUUAAAUAACAAUGAAACGCUUUCAAUAAAAAAAAAAACCCAAAACUGUUUGGGUGUUGCCAGCUCUCACAAUCUCAUUGCAA